CAGGAGUUGCAGCCACACCCAAGAUGGCGCCACAGCUGCUGUGGGACUGGCCGGUGGAUGAAACUGCGGACAUAUUCCUGGCUUCCCCGUGGUCUCCUUGGGGCGUAAAGAGUGACAGCCCUUGCUCACCACCAACCAGCCAGCAAAUGGAAUCACAAUGCCUGCAUCUGCAGAGAAGACGUCCCAAUGUAGAGUGUCCGUUAGAAUGCACAUCCUCACUUGUACCAAGCAGCUGGAAACUGAUCGAGCUGCCUGAUUUAAGUCACAAGGCUUCAGAAAAGGAGAUUCAAAAUUUAAAAUUUGUUCUACAGAACAAAAAUCAUCCCUUUAAAAAUGCAUUUGCAGCUGUGCCCAGUGAUGAUGGAUUUAUCGCCUAAACCAGGGAUCAGUAAACAAUGUGUGCCCUAUAAAGAGUGAAACAAGUCCUUGCUCAUCCGAGCACUUAAUUGCAGUGGUUAUAUCAAAGCGAUAUAAAAUAAUCACCAACCACAAGGAAGGCUGCGUUUUACAUAGGUGCCUCUGUCACUGUUUUUCCACCUGUUAAAAUGAAAGAUUCUUGGAAUAUCAUAAUAUGUAAAACUUGUUUAUGAUGCAAAUAUAAAGAUGUCCUUUCAUCUUUCUGCAGCUUUGAUGUCGUGAUAUGAAGCUUUGGUGCCCCUCCUUCCAGGCAUGCACCCAAGAUGUUAUCUCAUUCGUAAACGUGUGUUCCCUGUGUAAAUACAUGGGAACCAAUUGCGAGAUAUUCCUGUUUUCAGUACUUUUUAUGAGGAAUUGGUCCGCUUCUAAAUUAAUAGAAAGAUGAGAAGAGUUUGUUGAUAUGUUUUUCUUUAAUGCUUAGGAUAACAGCUUGAGCAUCAAGGUAAAGAAAGCCUGUUAAAAUGGGGAAAUAAAAGUCAGAACCUAAGUAAAGAGUUAAUAUACUACUUCUAGGCACAAAGGUAAGUCCUCAACACAGCAGAAACACCUACUUGAGUAUUCCUCCACUGAUAAAAAUGUGAAUUUCCUUCUCCUGUUUAGGUAAGACAGAUACUUCUCAUUGUAAUACACUUUAACUAGAAAGCUCAGACAGAUACUCCUCAUUGUAAUACACUUUAACUAGAAAGCUCAGACAGAUACUCCUCAUUGUAAUACACUUUAACUAGAAAGCUCAGACAGAUACUUCUUAUUGUAAUACAUGUUUAACUAGAAAGCUCAGACAGAUACUCCUCAUUGUAAUACACUUUAACUAGAAAGCUCAGACAGAUACUCCUCAUUGUAAUACACGUUUAGCUAGAAAGCUCAGACAGAUACUUCUCAUUGUAAUACACGUUUAGCUAGAAAGCUCAGACAGAUACUCCUCAUUGUAAUACAAGUUUAACUAGAAAGCUCA
rnacentral:lncRNA from 1 species